rnacentral:rRNA from 1 species
GAUAAACGCUGGCGGCGUGCCUUAUGCAUGCAAGUCGAACGGGCUACUUCGGUAGCUAGUGGCGAACGGGUGAGUAACACGUAAGUAACCUGCCCUUAAGUGGGGGACAACUCCGGGAAACUGGAGCUAAUACCGCAUGUGAUGAUGGAGGUAAUGCACUAUCAUUAAAGCCUUCGGGCGCUUGGGGAGGGGCUUGCGGCCGAUUAGCUAGUUGGUGAGGUAACGGCCUACCAAGGCUAUGAUCGGUAGCUGGUUUGAGAGGAUGAUCAGCCACACUGGGACUGAGAUACGGCCCAGACUCCUACGGGAGGCAGCAGCAAGGAAUAUUGCGCAAUGGGCGAAAGCCUGACGCAGCGACGCCGCGUGGGGGAAGACGGCUUUCGGGUUGUAAACCCCUUUUCCCAGGGAAGAAUAAAAUGACGGUACCUGGGGAAUAAGCUUCGGCUAAAUACGUGCCAGCAACCGCGGUAAUACGUAUGAAGCGAGCGUUAUCCGGAUUUACUGGGCGUAAAGAGGGCGUAGGCGGCUUUUCAAGUCGGAUGUAAAAUCUCCCGGCUCAACUGGGAGGGACCAUUCGAUACUGCUGGGCUAGAGUGCAGCAGAGGGAGACGGAAUUCCCGGUGUAGUGGUGAAAUGCGUAGAUAUCGGGAGGAACACCAGUGGCGAAGGCGGUCUCCUGGGCUGUAACUGACGCUGAGGCCCGAAGGCGUGGGUAGCAAACAGGAUUAGAUACCCUGGUAGUCCACGCAGUAAACGAUGGACACUAGGUAUGGGGGGUAUCGACCCCCUCCGUGCCGAAGCUAACGCUUUAAGUGUCCCGCCUGGGGACUACGGUCGCAAGACUAAAACUCAAAGGAAUUGACGG